UACAGAGGUCUCAAGCGUUGUUCGGAUUCAUUGGGCGUAAAGGGUGCGUAGGCGGCGUGGUAAGUCGGGUGUGAAAUCUCGGAGCUUAACUCCGAAACUGCAUUCGAUACUGCCGUGCUUGAGGACUGGAGAGGAGACUGGAAUUUACGGUGUAGCGGUGAAAUGCGUAGAUAUCGUAAGGAAGACCAGUGGCGAAGGCGGGUCUCUGGACAGUUCCUGACGCUGAGGCACGAAGGCCAGGGGAGCAAACAGG
rnacentral:rRNA from 1 species